rnacentral:rRNA from 1 species
UAAUACAGAGGGUGCGAGCGUUAAUCGGAAUUACUGGGCGUAAAGGGCGCGUAGGCGGUUAUAUAUGUGUGAUGUGAAAGCCCCGGGCUUAACCUGGGAAGUGCAUCGCAAACUGUAUAUCUGGAGUAUAUGAGAGGGUGGCGGAAUUUCCGGUGUAGCGGUGAAAUGCGUAGAGAUCGGAAGGAACGUCAAUGGCGAAGGCAGCCACCUGGCAUAAUACUGACGCUGAGGCGCGAAAGCGUGGGGAGCGAACAGGAUUAGAUACCCUGGUAGUCCACGCUGUAAACGAUGAGAACUAGAUGUUGGUUGGGGAACCAAUCAGUAUCGAAGCUAACGCGAUAAGUUCUCCGCCUGGGAAGUACGGCCGCAAGGUUG